CAGUAGCCGCGGUAAUACAGAGGGUGCAAGCGUUAAUCGGAAUUACUGGGCGUAAAGCGCGCGUAGGUGGUUUGUUAAGUCGAAUGUGAAAUCCCCGGGCUCAACCUGGGAACUGCAUCCGAAACUGGCAAGCUAGAGUAUGGUAGAGGGUAGUGGAAUUUCCUGUGUAGCGGUGAAAUGCGUAGAUAUAGGAAGGAACACCAGUGGCGAAGGCGACUACCUGGACUGAUACUGACACUGAGGUGCGAAAGCGUGGGGAGCAAACAGGAUUAGAUACCCCUGUAGUCCCUGUCUCUUAUAA
rnacentral:rRNA from 1 species